GCCUAACACAUGCAAGUCGAACGAAGGCUUCGGCCUUAGUGGCGCACGGGUGAGUAACGCGUGGGAACCUGCCCUUUUGUUCGGAAUAACGUUGGGAAACUGACGCUAAUACCGGAUACGCCCUACGGGGGAAAGAUUUAUCGCAGAAGGAGGGGCCCGCGUCGGAUUAGCUAGUUGGUGGGGUAAUGGCUUACCAAGGCGAUGAUCCGUAGCUGGUCUGAGAGGAUGAUCAGCCACACUGGGACUGAGACACGGCCCAGACUCCUACGGGAGGCAGCAGUGGGGAAUAUUGGACAAUGGGCGAAAGCCUGAUCCAGCAAUGCCGCGUGAGUGAUGAAGGCCUUAGGGUUGUAAAGCUCUUUCGCACGCGACGAUGAUGACGGUAGCGUGAGAAGAAGCCCCGGCUAACUUCGUGCCAGCAGCCGCGGUAAU
rnacentral:rRNA from 1 species